rnacentral:tmRNA from 1 species
GGGGCUAUCUGGUUUUGACAGCAUGUAGAAUGGGUAUGUAAGCACGUCGAGCACCGAGAAUAAGCUCGUUAAUCCGGUUCUCAAAAUUAUAACUGGCAACUAUAAUGUAGCUCUCGCUGCCUAACCGAAGUAUAGUAGGUUACUUUAUUCAGGUACAAGGUGCCUGAACGGGACAUCGCUCCAAGCCGAGUCUGUGGGCUGAAUGGAUCAAGCGGUGCGGAAAUUCACAGAAUAGGAGCCGUAGGCUGCGAUGCGGUUCCGAAACCAAAGCAGAUAAGCCGUAAGUUGGUAGCCUGGGUCUUGCUUGCGGACGAAAAUGAAAGCCGGGAUAAGCGUGUAGAAAGCGUAUUUGUUCCGUGUUUGGACGUGGGUUCGACUCCCACUAGCUCCACCA